UACGGAGGGAGCUAGCGUUGUUCGGAAUUACUGGGCGUAAAGCGCACGUUAGGCGGCUUUUUAAGUCAGAGGUGAAAUCCUGGAGCUCAACUCCAGAACUGCCUUUGAUACUGAAAGUCUUGAGUAUGGGAGAGGUGAGUGGAACUGCGAGUGUAGAGGUGAAAUUCGUAGAUAUUCGCAAGAACACCAGUGGCGAAGGCGGCUCACUGGCCCAUAACUGACGCUGAGGCACGAAAGCGUGGGGAGCAAACA
rnacentral:rRNA from 1 species